ACUGUGACGUUUCUUCUUUGGAAUAUUUUACAUAACCUGUGCAAAUCAGUGUUGGGACAUGCUUUAAAUAUCCGUUCAGGUUGCUAUAUGGCAUUUCGUGUAACUGAGCCGAUAGUCAAAGCCGGCCACGCGAGUUCAUUCACGGUUAUGACCCAACAUUGCGGGUCACGCGCUCUUAGUUAACAGCGGAAUUCCUUACAGGCCACGAGGCUAGAGUUCUCACGCAGCAGUCAUUGGCUUUAUUUCGCCAAGAGUCGGUUGAGAACACCCUCCAUACCCUCUCACCUUCGUCCGUGAAGUGGAAGCUCCGUAGGAAGAGCAGACAGUCUUGCAGCCCGGAGAAAAGCGAGAAGCCACCAUCGAAGGGGUUGCUGCGGAAAAAGAGCUCGAACACGGCCGGCUCGCUGUGCCUGCCCGCGCGCCAGUAGGCGUAAGCCAUGGUGAACUGGUAGAGAUCGGUGAGCAGCGGCGGCACGCGCUGCCGAAUCGACCGCUCCACCGCCGCACAUGUCCGACUUGUUGACGCUGCCAUGUUCCAGAGACAGGAUCGGAGCUUUAAAAGAGCAGCCGAGGACUGGGACUUUGAGAUCGCUCCUCCCACCUCCAAAGCCUUUCCAAAUGCGAAACAAGUCAACUUCCAAUCUUUAUGAGGGGAACCCUUUACGUAAAUUUCCAGCGAACGUUUUCCAUCCAAAGAUAUGCUGCAAUUUAUCCAGUAAGCUAAUAAAUUAACCUCACGGAGCUGCAAAAAUAUAUUUAUCUGUAAUAUUUCUAUAACAAGUUUCAUUAUACGGCCGGAGGGGGUGUCACCAGCAGAAGUUUCGUUACAUUCACCACGUCCUGUUUUGUAUGUUUUGCUUGCGUCAUUUCAAUGUUGUGCCAUGUGCACCAGUUUUGUUUUUUACCUGCAUUUUCACCUACACUAAAUUAAAAAGAGCAAUUGUAGAACUGG